rnacentral:rRNA from 1 species
UACGUAGGGGGCAAGCGUUGUCCGGAUUUAUUGGGCGUAAAGAGCGUGUAGGCGGCCGUACAGGUCAGCUGUGAAAACUCGAGGCUCAACCUCGAGACGUCGGUUGAAACCGUACGGCUAGAGUCCGGAAGAGGAGAGUGGAAUUCCCGGUGUAGCGGUGAAAUGCGCAGAUAUCGGGAAGAACACCCGUGGCGAAGGCGGCUCUCUGGGACGGUACUGACGCUGAGACGCGAAAGCGUGGGGAGCCGAACAGG